GACGAAACAAAUCACUGUGGCUCCGCUAAAUGACGAGAUUGAUGACUUCCCGAAUGGCAACUACGACAGAUCAUCCAGACAAACACCACUAUCCGAGCGCGUCCUGAGGAAGAAUGGGCAUCUGGUUGGGAGUGCAUCUGAGAAAUGCUAAUGAUUGGGUGGCAAAUAGCCAGCGGUGAUGCAUGGGAAGUGUGCCUGUUACUGAGAUAAAUUGGGGACAAUCAUGGCACCUACUAUCAAAAGGUCUUGGGCACCAUACCUGGAUUAGAAAAUAAUGGAAUUUCAUGCUUUUUCAAGAAGUCUUCCCAAACAAGCAAACACCCAAGAUGCACUUUCCGAACCAUUACUCCCGACUGCUGAUGGCAUAAGGACCACUUAUCCAUCUGUCGUGUAUGUGCUUUGAAGCCAAACAUCAGUACUUCAAGAGAAUUGCACAUGUCAUCUGUGACUACGAAAACAUUGCACACAUGCCAAAAGACGCCAGAUGAGACAAUGCUGGGAGCAGUCAAAGAACACAUGCUUAGGAAUCACAGUACCACUCCAAAAAGACCAACCCACCACAAUUUYCUUCCAGCCAACAACCAACCAAUAAACAGCAUCCACCAACCAACACAAAACUGUGGCCCACAAUAUUCACCCUUCCUGAGUUCCCCACAGCCCUGCAGUGUAAACUCAACCAGCAGAGUGAAGAGUUCCAACUUUCCCACUGAUUGGUCCAAGUGGAGGAGACAAAUCAUCCAGGUUUUAGUUGAUAUCAUGUGCACAUAUACCUGGUAAGUUUAUAAAUUGGCACAUCAUGUGAGUUUCUGUGUGUGGCGUGUGUGUUGGUUUAGAUAUUACUGCACUGUUGGAGCUAGGAACACAAACAUUUCACUAAACCCGCAAUGACAUCUGCUAAAUAUGUGUACGUGACCAAUGCGAUUUCAUUUGAUUUGUGUGUAGUCAUGGGAUGUGUUACGCUGUAAUGGAACACUACAUUGAUUUACACUUUUCGAAGGUGCCCUACAAGCAGACAAUAUACCGACAUCUGGAUAUCAUUGGUGGCCAAGUACCCAUUUCUAAGGGACUGUACAGGACAAGGAUAUGUGACUAAUGGCACGCACGAUGUAGAGCUACUUGGGGGCCUGUCUGCUACACCACUUUUGAACCAAGACUCGAGACCCCAGCAGCGAUCCUGCUCUUGCCCUAACGCUUCAAUGAGGACCUGAGUGGCCUUUAUGUCCGUGACAAGGUAUGUCUAUGCACAAAUAAUCUGUUUCUUCAUAAACAUAAGUGUGCAUGCUUAUAUAAAACUACAGCUGAACAUUUGUAAUGUUCUUUGUUAAUUGUAUGUGUAUUAAUCCAUUUCACCAUGAGUCAAAUCACGCUGACCUUUGAGGGGAGAACAUCCACGCCCUAGAGGACGUCUCUAUGGGACUUGGGGCUCUGUUAGGGCCGUAUUUUUUUAUUUUCAGUUAAAUUUCCCCAAAAUGUCAGAAAAACAUUUAUGUUCUUAAGUUGCGGUGUUCUGGGUAUAAGAGAAGUUGGGGUAAAGUUACCAGUGCUGGUCAUAAAGAUGGCAAACUUACUAACAUAAAUAAGUGGUUGUUUGGCAAGUGGUUGUUGGACACACACACACACACACACACACACACACACACACACACACGUGCACACACACACUAAAGCAAAAAAAUCCCAUCUGUAUUUCGCAUCAAGCAUCUACAAUCUUGUUAGUUUACCUUAAUUCAUUUUUAAUGUAUGUUGUUUUUAUUGUAUUUUAUAUUUUCACCAUGAGAGUGAAAAGCACUAUACAAAGUAAAUGUAUUAUUUAUUAUGUUCUGACAUGUCUGCAGAAAUGUUGCAAUGUUURUUAUGUGUUUUGUUUGGUAAAUUGUUGUGUAAUUGUUCWUUCACAUUUGUGGUGCCACUAAAUUAACAAUGAAUUAUUUAAAUCACUAUUGUCAUUAUUAUUAAAAUAUUUUUGUAUAAUGGGGGAGGGUGGACAGGGAGCAAAAAAAAUUAGCCCCAAAAGAUUCUUAGAGGAACCAUUAUAACCUAUGAUAAUGUUUUUUUCAAAGAACUUAUAGGGGUUCCCCCACAAGGUUCCUCAAAUAACCUUUUUUCAAGGGUUCUUUGAAGAACUAAUAAGGGUUCCCCCACAAGAUUCCUCAAAUAACCUUUUUUCAAGGGUUCUUUGAAGAACUAAUAAGGGUUCCCCCACAAGGUUCCUCAAAUAACCUUUUUUCAAGGGUUCUUUGAAGAGCUAAUAGGGGUUCCCCCACAGUUUCAAUUUAAAGAACCCCUAAAGGAUACUCCAGGAACCAUUUCUUUUUAGAGUGCAAAGGGGGACAUUUAAUUAACAGUGAAAUCUAACCUCUCAAUAAAGAUUAUAAUUGUAUCACAAUAUGUUGCAAAGAGAUUUAAGACACAUUUAAAAGACAAUUUUUAUUUGUAAUGAACCCUGAUAACAACCAUCAGCUAUCUCUAUAUAUCCGCUUUACAGAAAUAUGUCUGCUGACCCCUAUACGAUUGCUCAUACAUUUUAAAAAUAGAUUCUUAUCCUUCGAUACAGAUUGCCUCUACAAGUACUAUGCUCCAUAGAGCUAGCUUGUGUUCUCAUGGGGGCAGUUAAUAAAUCAGUUAAUAAAACAUUGCUUUAGCAGGUGACAUCACAUUUUAAAUAGUAACACUGAAAGACGCCGUAAAGAUGAACACGUUUCAAAAAUGGCAAAUUUGGAUUAGACGUCUAUGGUACAGCAAAGCCCUCCUAAAGCUUCCUCCCUGGAGUGACCCCUCUGCUGUGGAUUCAUCUUACCAUCCUGUCUGUAACAAUGUGCCAGAUUAAUUUAGGAGCCAUGUGAUUGGCUGACACAAAUCCAGGGGUGCUUUCCAGGCCAAAAGUUGGUUUAAUAGAUUUGUGGCGGACUACACAGAAGAAUCCUUUAUGAUGGAAAUAUGUACUUAGUUCUUGCCUAAUUCUCCUACGAAUCUUGUUGCAUUACAGUACAGCAAGUGUGUUACUGUUUGAUUAGGUGCUUCUCAAGUAGAGGCAAUGAAUUUUAGGUACCAUUGGUGGCAUUAAUGUGUAUUGAUGUUGGGAGAUGAGCACAUAAGUGCAAGUGGGAUUUUUUUUUAAACCCUAAAUUGGCUUACUUAUUGACCUUUACUGUGUUAGACACGCAUUCACACUGUUCUGCCUCUAGAGCCCAAAAUAUCCUCCACA